AGACAGCCCCUCACACCCGAGUGGGCCUACGUGUGUUUUGCUGCUACCUGAGCAAGGCCUUGCCAGUCCGGGCAGGGGCGAGCAUCCCUCAUCUGCCAUUUGGCCAGCCCUGAGACCUCCUCGUGGGUGAUGCCCGGACCCUCCUGUAAUGUUGUGAUCCAAGCCAUUUCCCAGACAGCGUUAUCGAUUCAUGGUGUUACUCUCCACAUGGUGUGGUCGUGCAAGGCGAUACCCGAGCGCAGCUCUCAGGUCAUGACGGAGACGCGAGGUGACAGUCCAUUGUGUGGAGUCCAUAGGGAAGGGAAGAAAGGCACCCUUUUGCUGUGCUCUGUGUCUGUGCGAUACAAGUUUGCCUGUAGAGGAAAAUCUCAACAUUUGGGCUUCUGAGCUGGCCAGCCACGGUAUGCAAUGCGGAGAAAAUGCUGGAAUGCAGACAUUAUUAUAUCACUGUUUUCAUCCUGCAUUAUGAAAGCACCGCAAUGUCAGGAGGGAAAGGAAGGUUUUACAAUUGGAAGAGUGCAAUCUGGGGAAGAAAACCAAGUGUCCUUGAAAGUAUCUCCUGGGCUGUAUCACAUGCGCUCAUGGAUGCCAGCAACUAGGAAUGGAAUAGCACAAGGGAAACAGGACUGAUUUCAAACUACAAAAAUGCAAGAGCGCUGCAGUAUAAAACUGCUGGGGAAGCACGAUAAAAAUGCCUGACUGCACACCUAGUUCUAGAAGAGAAGAAUGUAGACAACCCCGUAAAGUCUGGACAAUUCUCCUAGGAACAGAGGAGUUGCCUUCCUGAUCAGACCUGUGUUUCUUUCCAGGCUGAAAUCUUGCUCCAGGUCUGACCUCCACCAGAUGCUCCAGAAGAAGGCAAAAAAAGAAAGGAAAAAAACCCACCCUCAAGUAAGACAUUAAGGGGAUAGUUUGCCAAUAAUGAAAAAUUCUGCAUAAUUGCCCUCUGUAAGUUACUGUCUUACACUCACAGCAGGAAAGCUUAGUUCACUUCUAAAAUAUUUUUAAUAUGCA
rnacentral:lncRNA from 1 species